GAUGAACGCUGGCGGCGUGCCUAAUACAUGCAAGUCGAGCGAACAGACGAGGAGCUUGCUCCUCUGACGUUAGCGGCGGACGGGUGAGUAACACGUGGAUAACCUACCUAUAAGACUGGGAUAACUUCGGGAAACCGGAGCUAAUACCGGAUAAUAUAUUGAACCGCAUGGUUCAAUAGUGAAAGACGGUUUUGCUGUCACUUAUAGAUGGAUCCGCGCCGCAUUAGCUAGUUGGUAAGGUAACGGCUUACCAAGGCAACGAUGCGUAGCCGACCUGAGAGGGUGAUCGGCCACACUGGACCUGAGACACGGUCCAGACUCCUACGGGAGGCAGCAGUAGGGAAUCUUCCGCAAUGGGCGAAAGCUUGACGGAGCAACGCCGCGUGAGUGAUGAAGGUCUUCGGAUCGUAAAACUCUGUUAUUAGGGAAGAACAAAUGUGUAAGUAACUAUGCACGUCUUGACGGUACCUAAUCAGAAAGCCACGGCUAACUACGUG
rnacentral:rRNA from 1 species